UACGGAGGGUGCAAGCGUUAAUCGGAAUUACUGGGCGUAAAGCGUGCGCAGGCGGUUUGGUAAGUCUGCUGUGAAAUCCCCGAGCUCAACUUGGGAAUUGCAGUGGAUACUGGGCAGCUAGAGUGUGUCAGAGGAUGGUGGAAUUCCCGGUGUAGCGGUGAAAUGCGUAGAGAUCGGGAGGAACAUCAGUGGCGAAGGCGGCCAUCUGGGACAACACUGACGCUGAAGCACGAAAGCGUGGGGAGCAAACAGG
rnacentral:rRNA from 1 species